CUUGCUUCUUGGGUGACGAGCGGCGGACGGGUGAGUAAUGCAUAGGAAUCUGCCCGAUAGUGGGGGAUAACCUGGGGAAACCCAGGCUAAUACCGCAUACGUCCUACGGGAGAAAGGGGGCUCCGGCUCCCGCUAUGGGAUGAGCCUAUGUCGGAUUAGCUAGUUGGUGAGGUAACGGCUCACCAAGGCAACGAUCCGUAGCUGGUCUGAGAGGAUGAUCAGCCACAUCGGGACUGAGACACGGCCCGAACUCCUACGGGAGGCAGCAGUGGGGAAUAUUGGACAAUGGGCGCAAGCCUGAUCCAGCCAUGCCGCGUGUGUGAAGAAGGCCCUCGGGUUGUAAAGCACUUUCAGCGAGGAAGAACGCCUAGCGGUUAAUACCCGCUAGGAAAGACAUCACUCGCAGAAGAAGCACCGGCUAACUCCGUGCCAGCAGCCGCGGUAAUACGGAGGGUGCAAGCGUUAAUCGGAAUUACUGGGCGUAAAGCGCGCGUAGGUGGCUUGAUAAGCCGGUUGUGAAAGCCCCGGGCUCAACCUGGGAACGGCAUCCGGAACUGUCAAGCUAGAGUGCAGGAGAGGAAGGUAGAAUUCCCGGUGUAG
rnacentral:rRNA from 1 species